UUUUGGUUUUGUAAUUGGAAUGAGUUAAGUAUAAACCCCUUUACAAGUAUCAAUUGGAGGGCAAGUCUGGUGCCAGCAGCCGCGGUAAUUCCAGCUCCAAUAGCGUAUAUUAAAGCUGUUGCAGUUAAAAAGCUCGUAGUUGGAUUUCUGUUAAUAAUUUAUAUAAAAUAUUUUGAUGAAUAUUUAUAUAAUAUUAACAUAAUUCAUAUUACUAUUUUUUUUUUUUAGUAUAUGAAAUUUUACUU
rnacentral:rRNA from 1 species